UAGGGAAUCUUCGGCAAUGGACGAAAGUCUGACCGAGCAACGCCGCGUGAGUGAAGAAGGUUUUCGGAUCGUAAAACUCUGUUGUUAGAGAAGAACAAGGACGUUAGUAACUGAACGUCCCCUGACGGUAUCUAACCAGAAAGCCACGGCUAACUACGUGCCAGCAGCCGCGGUAAUACGUAGGUGGCAAGCGUUGUCCGGAUUUAUUGGGCGUAAAGCGAGCGCAGGCGGUUUCUUAAGUCUGAUGUGAAAGCCCCCGGCUCAACCGGGGAGGGUCAUUGGAAGCUGGGAGACUUGAGUGCAGAAGAGGGGAGUGGAAUUCGAUGUGUAGCGGUGAAAUGCGUAGGUAUGGGGGGGAACACGGGUGGCGGAGGCGGCUCUGUGGUCUGUAGCUGGCGGGGGGGCUGGAGAGCGUGGGGAGCAAACAGG
rnacentral:rRNA from 1 species